rnacentral:rRNA from 1 species
UACAGAGGUCUCAAGCGUUGUUCGGAUUCAUUGGGCGUAAAGGGUGCGUAGGUGGCGCCGUAAGUCAGGUGUGAAAUCUCGGGGCUUAACUCCGAAACUGCAUUUGAUACUGCGGUGCUUGAGGACUGGAGAGGAGACUGGAGUUUACGGUGUAGCAGUGAAAUGCGUAGAGAUCGUAAGGAAGACCAGUGGCGAAGGCGGGUCUCUGGACAGUUCCUGACACUGAGGCACGAAGGCCAGGGGAGCAAACGGG